AUGGGGGCGGCGCCGUCGACACCGAGGCUGGGCGAGGCGGUUUCCGCGUCGCCGGGGGAGGCGCCGUCGACGCCGAGGCUGCGCGAGGCGGGCUCCGCGUCGCUGGGGGCGGCGGAGCAGAUGUUCGCCGCGCUCGUCGGCGACAAGGCCUACCCGAUCUCCUCCGAGUUCUGGAGGCAGCUGCUCGAGCUGCCCCUCACCCUGCAGGGGCCGCGGGACCGCGUGCUGCAGGCCUGCCACCCCUUCGCACAAAACAACUACCAUACGAAGUAUCUUGCAAAGAUCUUGAUUGAUUUGGUUUGGUGUUUGCAAGAGUGCACAUCGGCUUCUUCUGUAUCUUCUAGCGUCUAUAGAAAGGCUAUUAAUGCUGCCUACAUCUCAUCCAUAUUUCUCAAGCUCAUUACUGAGAACGCCAAGGCAGAUAAUUGGCAAGAGCUAUGCCUUGACACGAACAAAGAUGACAAGGGGCUGGAUAAUUUUCCUUCUGACCAAAGUGUGGAGUAUUUUCUGAUGAAAGGGGUGCGGAACUACAUUGGUAGUGUAGAUAUAAGUCCGGAGUCAUGCUACCUACAUCAGGAGCUUCUAAACUUGAUGCUAGUCCUUUUGUCGACUCAGUUAUGUUCUGGACCAUCUCCAGAACCAAAAGAUGUGCAUCCUUUCAUUGAUGCGGCUAUGCUUCAGGAUGCUUCCAUAGUAGCUUCGGUUGUUCAAAAGUUUCUACUUAAUUUUGUAAGAUGGCCACAAAUCCCUUCAAAUGGUUCACACCCUGUUUUCUCUGAUGAUGGUGGGUCUGGUGUUAUGCAACGAAUUGGUUCAGCAGCUGAAAUGAAUUAUGCUGCAGUUGAUCGUGCUGAUGUUGAGGGAAAUGCUCAAAAUGGACCUGUUGUCAGGCUGUCUUUUGCAUCGCUGUUUGAUGCUCUUGGCACAUGCUUAAAAGAUGAGAGCUCAGUUUUGUUGCUCUAUUCUCUGGUCCAUGGGAACUGCGAUUUUCAGGAGUAUGUUCUGGUUCGAACAGACUUGGAUACUUUGCUUAUGCCUACCUUUGAAAUGCUCUAUGAUGCAUCAAGGAAGACUUCCAAUCAGAUCUACAUGCUGUUGAUAAUUCUCCUGAUACCCAGUCAAGAUUCAACCUUCAAUGCUAAUGUGCACAAAUUGGAUGUCUACCUUCACACAAACUGUCUUGUAAUUCUAGCAAUCAUGGGUCCUCAUGCGCAUAGGCUGAGUGCAUAUGCAUCUCAAAGGCUGGUUAGCCUCUUCGACAUGCUUCCUCACAAGUACACCAAAUUAGCUGAGUUACAAAAUGACAAGGCUCUCAAAGUUAUGUCUGAUCAAAUAGAAGCAGACAUCACUUCAGAUGAAACGGCAUGUAUAAUCUCAAAGUGUGAAGAAUAUGGUUUCGCUGAAGGUGUUACUACAAAGGCUGCUGCAACAAGUGAUGCAAAUGCAAGCACCAUUGAAGAUGGCACAAAAACAGUAUCUUCGAAUCUUUCAUCAUCAAAAGUGGAAAGCACUCAGUUAUCAAGUGGCACUUAUGUAUCACUUGGGCAACAAAAAAAAUUAAUGAUUCAUAAGGGCUUUUGGUUCACUGGCUACUUAUUGUUGAUCAUUGUAUCCAUGUUUCUCCCUUUGUCCGAGGCAAGACAGAUUGUACAACUUUCAGAGUCCGAGUUUUGCAGUAAUCAUUACUUGUUAUCUAGGAAAAUUGCUGUAGCGUGCAUUCCAACACAGCCAGAACCUAUUUGCUGUGAACUUUUAGUUCCAGCUUUGGAUUCUAAAGGCUGUAUUUGCAAAUUGAUGAAUGACGGUACAGAAUUGGAUAACUUUCUCAUGAAAUAUACGUCGUGUGGAGGGCAACAUCCAGAAUUACUUGAAGAUGCACAGAAUUGCUCAUCGGCACCAACAGCGACAGUGACUGAAGUUGCUCCGACCCAGAAGAUACCUGAAGUGGCUAUUAUUGCUAGCAAACCAAAGAAUGUCAAAUCUCUUCGUUGGCUUUUAGUGCUCUUACUGGCUGUGGUGCUAAUAGGAUUGCUUUUUUGGGGUACUCUUGAGCUGAAGAAAAGAAGAGAAGCUGGGAGAGUUGGACCUCAAACUCAGGAAGUUCAGUUAGGUCGCAGAGUGACCGUGCAGGCACGGCAAACUGCAGAUGAUUCAAUACGUAAUCAACACGUCGACAUUCCUAUUCUUGAAGAUCUGCCGUUUGUUGGUCCGAUGACGAGAAAUCGUUUCAAUUCACUGAAAGAGAGAGCCGCGGGAACUAAGGAAUCAACUAGUGACUGA
rnacentral:rRNA from 1 species